rnacentral:tRNA from 1 species
AAGAUUUUAAGUUAAAAAAACUAUUAAUUUUCAAAAUUAAAUUUAAAGAAAAAUAUCUUUAAAUCUUA